AUUAAAAUGGUGACUUUGGCCCAGGAACUCAGGGUUGGCGUGCUGUUUCUCUGGGGAAUAUAGGGUUAUGGGACAUAAUACUGUGGGAACUAAGGGGUAAGAGGGUUAAGACUGAAUGGUUUCAAUGUGGUGUUUUUUGUGUGUGUGUGUGUGUGUGUGUGUGUAGUUUUCCUCGGGAAUCCAAUAAGCUAAUUGAUUUGCCAGAGGAUUACUGUGCACUGAUCAACCAGGCUUUCAGCUUCACGUGAGUGUGUGCACUGAGUUGCAUUCAUUUAUACCCAGUAUCUGCUUAAUAGAAUAGAAUUCUGGUGGACAUCUCUAGUUAUUGCUUUUUAGUUUAUAACCUCCAUUGUUUUUGUAGCUGUCCUAAGUCAGAUGGAGUUAAGUCUUGAGCUCAAACUCUGUGCUUGGUGUGUGGCACGAUGCUGUGAUCUCAGAGCAGCUGCUGCCAGACUGAGCUGGAGGGUGAGGACGUUGGAGCGUGUACUGCACACAUCUUUGUUUGCUGAGCUGGUGUUAGCAUUUUCCUCAGGGUGAGGGAGAAAUAGGUUCUUUUCCUGUACCUCGAUGACUAUGGAGAACUGUCCAAGGGCUCAGAUGGAGGAAUGCGCUACAGAAAUAUUCAGAAGCUCUGGUGCCAGCACAGCAUCACCGAGGAGAUGGGUCAUGCACAGGAAGCUAAUCAGACUCUGGAGGACAUUGACUGGGAGAUCCUGGAUUUCCUUGGCUAAUGCCAAAUCUAAACUAACCAGGGAUCUGCACAUUUACCUAGAAAUAGUGCAGAAUCUUGAACAUCAAUUAUUGAAAAUGUUGAACAUUUCCUUUUUUUGUUAUUUCAAUG